AUUGAACGCUGGCGGCAGGCUUAACACAUGCAAGUCGAGCGGGGUGAUGGUGCUUGCACUAUCACUUAGCGGCGGACGGGUGAGUAAUGCUUAGGAAUCUGCCUAUUAGUGGGGGACAACAUCUCGAAAGGGAUGCUAAUACCGCAUACGUCCUACGGGAGAAAGCAGGGGAUCACUUGUGACCUUGCGCUAAUAGAUGAGCCUAAGUCGGAUUAGCUAGUUGGUGGGGUAAAGGCCUACCAAGGCGACGAUUUGUAGCGGGUCUGAGAGGAUGAUCCGCCACACCGGGACUGAGACACGGCCCAGACUCCUACGGGAGGCAGCAGUGGGGAAUAUUGGACAAUGGGGGGAACCCUGAUCCAGCCAUGCCGCGUGUGUGAAGAAGGCCUUAUGGUUGUAAAGCACUUUAAGCGAGGAGGAGGCUCUUUUGGUUAAUACCCAAGAUGAGUGGACGUUACUCGCAGAAUAAGCACCGGCUAACUCUGUGCCAGCCGCCGCAGUAA
rnacentral:rRNA from 1 species